ACCACACCAUUAGAUCUCACUGCCUCAUUCCUGACGGCCGCUGGCAUUCAUUCACUCAGAUCUCCUCAGAUGCUAAUCUCUUUUAUUAUCAGGUAAAUUUCUAAAUUCUACUUAUUUUCCUAAAUCAAACAUACGUCUUUGUUUUUCUGUUCCUUUUCUGAGGUUAAUUAAAUUAAUUUCAUAUCCACAUUAGAUAGUCUUGUAUAAUUAUUCGAUCUCCAUCUUUAGAGAUGGCUGAAUUACUGCAAGAAUUUUUGUACAUAUAAAAAAAAUGAUAUUCUAUUGCAUUAAUACCUACUCCUUUAUGUUAAUCACUCCACAUUUUUAAAAAAUUCUAUUGGAUUCUAUUGCAUUCGAUUUAUAAUUAAAAUUAAUUUAUACCAAGAAAUUCUUUGUCGUGUUGAUUUUGUUUCUUGUUUCUAAUUAAAAUUAAUUAUUAUCAAGAUGGUUUAGAGGAUAUAGAAUAUGACUUCAACCCUACAAGAACGAGACUUUUUAUGUGGUUUUGAAAUCUGCAAGUCUCCACAAAUUAUCUUUUGUAUGUAUUCUUGUUGUGUGGUGUAUUUAAUGAGUUUUUUUUAAGACUAAUUUUGUUGAAUUAUUUUUAAUAUAGUUAUUAAACUUGCAUAAAAAAUAAUUAUUUUUAUUCUUCGAUUCUUUUCUUUUAAUAAUAGAGUAUUUGUGGUGAUGCAAAAUUUUGAUUAACUUAUCAAACUAUUGUAGAGAGAGAGGCUUCUCAGACAUGAAAGUUUCUUAAGUUAUCUGCUUAUUUGCGUGUGUAUAGAGCAAAAUAAGAUAAGGAUGUUGAGGGAAAAUAUGCAUUUUUUUAAACGUGGAUUGACUUCACUUCUCAUUUUAACCAAUUCUUAUGGAUUUGUUCUGUUGCAGUUGAAGUCAUAACUUUUCUUGAUUAAUUAAAUAUUCAAAAUUAGAUUACUCAGUCCUUUGUGUCUUCGGUGGUGUUUGUUUACUUUAUGUUCACACUUGGCUAUAAGUAUUUUAGGUUGAAUAACUACAUUUAGUGUUGGUACUUGGUAGAUAGAGUGAAAUGUACAUGACUGUUGACGCCUUUAUAAACCAAUUGUUAUUUGUAUUUUCCUAGACACGUAGUACUAGAUGAAAUUUUUGUAAAUUUAAAUCUGGAGUACAAUUGGUUUAAUAUGUAAAUAAAAAAAAUUGAGACAACAAAAAUGGUAUUUGGAGAUUAAAUAUAAUAAAUGAUUUUUUUUUUUGGAUAAGUAAUGAAUAGAUCUUAAAUACGUGAAGAUCUUGCUCCAAUAAAUGUAGCUAUACUGCAUAUGUUUUUAAAUGUACGUGUGAAGAAAAUAAAUGAUUUGAUCUCUUACUUGUGUGUACUCUAUUUUUAUUUGACAUGCAGUUGACAUGGUAAAAUAUUUACACGAUAUCCAACAAGUUGAAAAUGAGUCGUUGUUCAUGACAUUUCAAAUUAGCCCAUUGAUUUCAGGUAAUAAGGUUUUCCUGUAACUAUUGGAAUACAUUAUGUGCUAUUAUUUAACUCGAACACAAUUGUCGUAAAUGACAAAAAUAAACUUAACUUGUAAGUUUGGUUUCUUUUCUUCCCUAUAAAUUAUCAUAAUUCAAUGGAGUUCUGCGAGAAAGUAAAUAUAUUUCUUGUUUCAAAAAGUUUUCACUACUACAAAACAGUAAAUAGAUAACGCGGAAAAAACGUUGUGGUUUCAGUCAGAAAAACGUCGUGGUUAAGGGUGUCAUGACACCCUUACACAACAUUUUUACAAUGUUGUAGUUAAGCACAUUACACAACGUUUUUUAAAAAAAAAAUGUUGUAGAUUUGUUUUCCAUAAAUUAGUAGAUGCUUAAAAAUGUUGUAGAAGGUAUGAUUCAACAACGUUUUCUGGAUAAAAACGUUGUAAUUUAAUAUAUCAGACAACGUUUUUAACCAAUUUAUACAACGUUUAGAAGGUGUCAUUUAUUUAUACAAAUAUACAAUAUUUUUAAAAUAUUGUAGAUAAAGAAAAAAAAAAGUGGUAGUUCACUUAUAUUAUCAAUGCACCUACAAUAUGCUAAUGCCAUGAUAUAUAGCUAAAAUGUCUAAAUUCUCAUUUAAAUUUAAAGUCAAAAUGUAUCAACCAUUCAAAAUACAUUCCAAUAAUAACAUUCGUUUACAGUUUCAAAUUACUACAUCCACAAAAUAUAUACCAAACUAUCCAUAUAUGCAUCUCAAAUUCACUUUUCAAUAUAAACUACUACUAUAUUGAAUUGUGAAUUUAAUUACAUGCAUCCAUAAAAUAAACCAAACUAUCUAUAAAAUUGAGCUACUACCUAAGCAUGUGCAAAAAAGCCUAGUUCUCCCAAAAUACGUACAUUCAUCUAACAUAUUCACUGUUAACUCGAGGCUCUACAUGUAGCUGCUCACAUACGUUGCCCACUCAUCCCGUCAAUUUGUUCUUGUGUGUACGUUAAUCCACAUGCCUUAUCCUACUGAAAUAAAAGAACAACAAAUUUAGUAUUCAACAAAGAUACCAAAUCACAAGGAUACCAAAUCUGACCUGGUACUGAUGUUGCGCAACAUGAAAUAACUAACCAAAACUUGGACGUGUUUUUCUCAAGUAGCCCUCAAAGCCAACUGCUGACAUCAAAUAACCAAAGUUAGUUCAAGUGUGAUGGUUACUAUAGAAGCUAGCUACAACAAAAGUGCUCGUUAAUACUUUCAUUACCUGACUGGACAGUAAUGGGGAAGUUUAUCCAGAAUCUCCAGCUCUUCAAGUGUUAUCUGAUCUAUCUUGUUGACAGCAUAGAUGCAAGGCAUAUACACACGGCUGCCCUCAAUGACAUCUAUGAGAUUGUCAGCUGUUGCGUCAUACCUAAGGGUAACAUCAGCAUUGUGUAUUCUGUAUUCACUGUAUAUAGCUUUCACAGUUUCAAGGUCCAGAUGCGUGUUGGCCACCCUUUUCUUUCUUCCUGAAUGUCAGAUUAGGGGGUUUCUUGUUUAACCUAAUUUUUUUAAAAAAAAGUACAAAGACGUACAACAUUAUUAGGAAGAAGAAAGAAUACAAGCAAGAAGAAUAUACAACUGUAGUUGCUAAGGAAUAGUAUCUCUGCAGGAAAAGGAAAAGAGAAAUGUUAGCUUUCAAAAACCAUAAAUACCGUUACAAGACUAGCUACUUCAAAGCAAUUGGUUACUUCCUUUUUCUCUUCGAUAAGAGACUGGAACAAUUAAACAUACAAGUGAGAAGACAUAUUCAAUCCAUCCUAUUUUACUGACUAUGUGAUCUGCUGAAUCAAUUUAUUCCAAAACGUGGUACAACUGCUAGAUUGUUCAUACAUUAAUUAGCAGUUACCAACAAUAAGCUAUUCUUGUGGCAGAACAAAAUUGUAAAAGAAAUGAAAACAUCUUUAGAACAUAUAAUGUCCAAAACACACAAAAUACCUUAUGCCAAAUCCCUCGAGCUCUUUCUCUAUCAAGCGUUUGUGAGUUGUUGGCUUUAUUGCGUCCAGAGCGAUCAGAAUACAGUUGCAUGUUCUAGCAGUACUGAUGACCUGGAUUGAGGUGACACAAGAAUGAGCACUCUUACAAUAAAUUAAUAAUGCACAUGAACCAAAAACAUCAAAAGUUGUAUAGUUCUCAUUCAAUUUUCAAAGCAGAACUAUGCAUAAAAAUGAAAAUAUAAAUGAACCAAAUAUAUCUAAAUUGAGCAGUUAUAGUUGUUAUUAAAUCUUCAGUGGUAAAUGAUAAUGUGAACAACUCUAAAAUCUAAAGUUGAUAUGUAUGCUAAAGAUUAGUAGUCCGACUCUGAUACCAGGGACAAAGGGAGCAUAGGGCCUGGGGAGCUGGGCUACCAUAAGAUUUCAGAAAAAAAAAUUAAGCCUAUGAAAUUUUGACAUUUUUAUUUUAGGCCCCCAAGAGCCAAAAGGUACAAAAAAUAAGCCCUUCAUAAACCAAAAAAUUCAAAUCUAAACACAGAAAGUCUUAAACAUUACAAAUAAUCCACCUUCGACAAUAUCUGAAAAGCAUGAAACCAAGUUGCAAGCACUUUCACUGAUUAGUACAUAGCCUAUCAACUUCAAUUAAACCUUAAAAACAAACUUUAUCUAUUGUAACUAAUCAGAUAUUAAAGGAGGAAAAUAACAUUGCAACUAUAGCCAUUUCAACCAAGUUUCUUCCUCCAUGGGCGAGUAAUUAAUCAUUCAAUAUUUACAUAGCCAAGUUUCUGAAAGUGCAACUUACAAAAUCAAAUUUAUGAGAAAGGUUACUCACAGUGGGGCGCUUUGUUCUUCUAUAAACUCUUUCAAGUGUUUCAACUUGUACUUUCUUAAUACGUUUUUAGCAGACCAACUGCUUUGCAUGACAUGAACUGGGGCUUUCACCUUAGCCUCUGGUUUCUCUGCAUCUGUUGCCGUCAUCAAAGGAACAUUCUCCACCUGUCUGGUUUCGGGCUCUAAGAUUGUUGAAGCAGGUUUAUCAGGCAAAACAGCGCUCAUCAAAAGUAGAUUUGGAGGUGGGUCACGAAGUAAUUCAAGAACAAUAGCUCUACUUGGCACAAAAGCACAACCCAGAGACAGCAACCACUUGGCACAUUCACCAAGAUAAUUCCCAAUGCAUUCAUAAACAUAUCCGCCCUCCGUCCUCAAAAGAAUGGCUAAAGUGGAAAAACAAAAAAUACAAAUAAUAUUUUGAGGACAGAGGUAGUUAUUAUCAUGACCUCAUUUUGGCAUUGACAGGAGGCACUUGUAGCUCCAACAAAGCCGGAAUAAUAAAAUAUCUAAUAGCUUCUUUCUAUUGAGAAUAAAUUUACGAUGCAAGCACACUCAGACACGUGUGUGUGAGAUAGAGAGGGAGAGAGUCUCCUGAGUACAAUAUUUAUAUAUAUUCAUAAUAUCCCAAGCAUGAAAGCAUUUUCAGGAAUUAAAAACAAGCACUAUAAUUUAUCAAAUACUAAUUAACACCAAUAAAAAU
rnacentral:lncRNA from 1 species